rnacentral:rRNA from 1 species
UACGUAGGGCGCGAGCGUUGUCCGGAAUUAUUGGGCGUAAAGAGCUCGUAGGCGGUUUGUCGCGUCUGCUGUGAAAACCCGAGGCUCAACCUCGGGCCUGCAGUGGGUACGGGCAGACUAGAGUGCGGUAGGGGAGAUUGGAAUUCCUGGUGUAGCGGUGGAAUGCGCAGAUAUCAGGAGGAACACCAAUGGCGAAGGCAGAUCUCUGGGCCGUGACUGACGCUGAGGAGCGAAAGCAUGGGGAGCGAACAGG